AAGUUUUUCUGCUUUUAAUAAAAAGUUUGGAAACAGCUGAGUUAAAAAUGCAAUAGUUUUAAUUAAUUUUCCUUAUUACAUUUUGUAGCGUUGCAAAUUUUCUAAUCACUCCAGUAAGCUUUUUUUGUGUGAUCAAAAUAGUCUCCUGAGAAUGUCAUUGUGAAUCCGCAGACAUGAUGUUACAAUGUCAGAUGAAAUGCUCUUCCAAGUCUUCAGAGCACUGGGUGUUGCAAAGCCAUCAUGGUUACAUCAUGUCAAGAUGUUGGCAAAUAAUGUCACUGGGAAUCUGUGGAGCACUUGUCACAGUACAGAAAUGAAACAAGAAGAUGUCAGAGCAAUUCCAAAAACAGAGUAUUUGAUUAUCAAGGAGAUUAUGAAAGACAAACUAUAUCCAACUUCUGGCUGAUAUCCAAGUGUAUUACCAGAAUUACAUGCUCAGAUGGGCCUUCCUCCGUGCUCAUGAUGAAGGAUCAAAAUACGUGGCUUCCUUGUCUCAAAGGCAAACCCUGGAGAUACCAAUAUAGGGAUCUUAUAGUUCCCUGUAUAGUGGAGGCCUGAUGUGGAGUUGAAGCUGGUAUGAAGAAAGUAGGUCUGCUGAGGAAGUCUGGAGAUUUGGUCUCAAGCUAGGCCUAGCUUCCCUGAAACAUUCAUGCAGCUGUGUUAUUUCUCUGUUGUUGUUAUAAACAGGUUUUUAAUGUCCCUGGUAAUCACUGAACUUCUUGAAUUUUGGCCAACAUACCAAACUCAAAGCCCUCCAAAUGGCUGCUUCUGCCAAGCUUUACACAUUAUGGCAUUUUAGGUAAUACUACGUUUCAGCAGCUUAGGCUGAGUUAUUGGGUGAGUUCAGUGUCCAAGAGGAAAAAACAAAACACACAAUUCCAUUCAAGUCCAUGAAAAAUUUUAUUCUUGGAAGGUGUUGGAUACUGGCAACAUAAAAUAUAUGAAACUACAGUAAAAAUCUAUUUAAAAUGAAUACCAUAACCUGAUUUUCUUGUUCUUUUGCUUAUAAAUAAUGCAAUGGAUUUAGUAGGUAUAUUUAUUUAGAUAGCAAAGUACAGACAAGUAUGACAUCCCAUAGAGAAAAACUUUGUAAAUAAGCAACAAAUACUGUGGUUCUAAUUUGUUUGAAAUGAUGGUGUUUUAACUAAGUAGGAUAUAUAUAUAUAUAUAUAUAUAUAUAUGAGUUGCUUGUACAUAAGUUGCGUAGUAUAGAAGGAAUGUGCACUCUAGGGAAUAAGUAGGGGCUUAAACAUACUGGACUAAGUGUCAUAUUCUUGUUUUGUUUGUUUAAAAACAAAUAAAAAACACAAAAACAUCUACUGCA
rnacentral:lncRNA from 1 species